UACGGAGGGGGCUAGCGUUGUUCGGAAUUACUGGGCGUAAAGCGCACGUAGGCGGCUUUGUAAGUUAGAGGUGAAAGCCCAGGGCUUAACCCUGGAAUUGCCUUUAAGACUGCAUCGCUAGAAUUGUGGAGAGGUAAGUGGAAUUCCGAGUGUAGAGGUGAAAUUCGUAGAUAUCGAGAGGAACACCUGCGGCGAAGGCGGUUCUCUGGGACGGUACUGACGCUGAGACGCGAAAGCGUGGGGAGCGAACAGG
rnacentral:rRNA from 1 species